rnacentral:rRNA from 1 species
UAUAAUGGGUCAGCGACUUAUAUUCAGUGGCGAGCUUAACCGAAUAGGGAAGGCGUAGCGAAAGCGAGUCUUAAUAGGGCGAAUUAGUCGCUGGGUAUAGACCCGAAACCGGGCGAUCUAUCCAUGAGCAGGUUGAAGGUUAGGUAACACUGACUGGAGGACCGAACCCACUCCCGUUGAAAAGGUAGGGGAUGACUUGUGGAUCGGAGUGAAAGGCUAAUCAAGCUCGGAGAUAGCUGGUUCUCCUCGAAAGCUAUUUAGGUAGCGCCUCACGUAUCACUCCAGGGGGUAGAGCACUGUUUCGGCUAGGGGGUCAUCCCGACUUACCAAACCGAUGCAAACUCCGAAUACCUGGAAGUGUCAGCGUGGGAGACACACGGCGGGUGCUAACGUCCGUCGUGAAAAGGGAAACAACCCAGACCGUCAGCUAAGGUCCCAAAGUUAUGGUUAAGUGGUAAACGAUGUGGGAAGGCUUAGACAGCUAGGAGGUUGGCUUAGAAGCAGCCACCCUUUAAAGAAAGCGUAAUAGCUCACUAGUCGAGUCGGCCUGCGCGGAAGAUGUAACGGGGCUCAAACCAUACACCGAAGCUACGGGUGCAUCGCAAGAUGCGCGGUAGAGGAGCGUUCUGUAAGCCUGUGAAGGUGAGUUGAGAAGCUUGCUGGAGGUAUCAGAAGUGCGAAUGCUGACAUGAGUAACGACAAUGGGAGUGAAAAACUCCCACGCCGAAAGACCAAGGGUUCCUGCGCAACGUUAAUCGACGCAGGGUUAGUCGGUCCCUAAGGCGAGGCUGAAGAGCGUAGUCGAUGGGAAAC